UACGUAGGGACCAAGCGUUGUUCGGAUUUACUGGGCGUAAAGGGCGCGUAGGCGGCAAUUCAAGUCAGCUGUGAAAUCUCCGGGCUUAACUCGGAACGGUCAGCUGAUACUGCUUUGCUAGAGUGCAGAAGGGGCAAUCGGAAUUCUUGGUGUAGCGGUGAAAUGCGUAGAUAUCAAGAGGAACACCUGAGGUGAAGACGGGUUGCUGGGCUGACAGUGACGCUGAGGCGCGAAAGCUAGGGUAGCAAGCGGG
rnacentral:rRNA from 1 species